rnacentral:rRNA from 1 species
GACGAACGCUGGCGGCGUGCCUAAUACAUGCAAGUCGAACGCAGUGGGGACGGGUGAGUAACACGUGGGUAACCUCCCAUCAGAGGGGAUAACACUCGGAAACAGGUGCUAAACCGAUAUUGACGGAUGGACCCGCGGUGCAUUAGCUAGUAGGUGAGGUAACGGCUCACCAAGGCUACGAUGCAUAGCCGACCUGAGAGGGGGAUCGGCCACACUGGGACGGAGGCACGGCCCAGACUCCAGCGGGAGGCAGGAGUAGGAAAUCUGCGGCAAUGGACGAAAGUCUUACCGAGCAACGCCGCGUGAGUGAAGAAGGUUUUCGGAUCGUAGAGCUCUGUGGUUAGAGAAGCGGUAUCUAGCCAGAAAGCCACGGCUAACUACGUGCCAGCAGCCGCGGUAAUAC